UAGUCCUAGCUGUAAACGAUGAGCACUGGGUCGUGGUCGUCCCGAACGAUCUCGGCCGCAAAGAAAUUGUUAAGUGCUCCGCCUGGGGAGUAUGGCCGCAAGGCUGAAACUCAAAGGAAUUGACGGGGGCUCACACAAGCGGUGGAGGAUGUGGCUUAAUUCGAGGCUACGCGAAGAACCUUAUCCUGGUCUUGACAUGGUUGGAUGUGCCGCCCGAAAGGGAUGGUUACUGCCUUCGGGUGAAACAAUCACAGGUGCUGCAUGGCUGUCGUCAGCUCGUGUCGUGAGAUGUCGGGUUAAGUCCCUUAACGAGCGAAACCCUUAUCUUUAGUUGCCAGCGAGUAAUGUCGGGGACUCUAGAGAGACUGCCGGUGUUAAACCGGGAGGAAGGUGGGGGAUGACGUCAAGUCCUCAUGGCCUUUAUGACCAGGGGCU
rnacentral:rRNA from 1 species